rnacentral:rRNA from 1 species
CAAUAGCGUAUAUUAAAGUUGUUGCAGUUAAAAAGCUCGUAGUUGAAUUUCGGGAUCAAUACGUCGGUCGUGCUUCGGUACGUACUGGCGUCAUUGAUUUCUCCCUUCUGACGAACCAUGAUGUCAUUAACUUGGUGUCAUGGGAAAUCAGGACUGUUACUUUGAAAAAAUUAGAGUGUUUAAAGCAGGCUCACGCUUGAAUACAUUAGCAUGGAAUAAUGAAAUAGGACGUUCGAUCCUAUUUUGUUGGUUUUUAGGAUCAACGUAAUGAUUAAUAGGGAUAGUUGGGGGCAUUAGUAUUCAAUUGUCAGAGGUGAAAUUCUUGGAUUUAUUGAAGACUAACUACUGCGAAAGCAUUUGCCAAGGAUGUUUUCAUUAAUCAAGAACGAAAGUUAGGGGAUCGAAGACGAUCAGAUACCGUCGUAGUCUUAACCAUAAACUAUGCCGACUAGGGAUCGGAUGAUGUUAAUUUUUUAAUGACUCAUUCGGCGC